rnacentral:rRNA from 1 species
CGAUUAGAGUUUGAUCCUGGCUCAGAUUGAACGCUGGCGGCAUGCCUUACACAUGCAAGUCGAACGGCAGCGCGGGGGCAACCCUGGCGGCGAGUGGCGAACGGGUGAGUAAUGUAUAGGAACGUGCCUUGGAGUGGGGGAUAACUAGUCGAAAGAUUAGCUAAUACCGCAUACGACCUAUGGGUGAAAGUGGGGGAUCGCAAGACCUCAUGCUCUUUGAGCGGCCGAUAUCUGAUUAGCUAGUUGGUGGGGUAAAGGCCCACCAAGGCGACGAUCAGUAGCUGGUCUGAGAGGACGACCAGCCACACUGGGACUGAGACACGGCCCAGACUCCUACGGGAGGCAGCAGUGGGGAAUUUUGGACAAUGGGGGCAACCCUGAUCCAGCAAUGCCGCGUGUGUGAAGAAGGCCUUCGGGUUGUAAAGCACUUUUGUCCGGAAAGAAAUCGUCCUGGCUAAUAUCCGGGAUGGAUGACGGUACUGGAAGAAUAAGCACCGGCUAACUACGUGCCAGCAGCCGCGGUAAUACGUAGGGUGCGAGCGUUAAUCGGAAUUACUGGGCGUAAAGCGUGCGCANGCGGUUGUGCAANACANAUGUGAAAUCCCCGGGCUUAACCUGNGAACUGCAUUUGUGACUGCACGGCUANAGUGUGUCA